rnacentral:rRNA from 1 species
GUGGGGAAUAUUGCACAAUGGGGGAAACCCUGAUGCAGCGACGCCGCGUGAGUGAUGAAGUAUUUCGGUAUGUAAAGCUCUAUCAGCAGGGAAGAAAAUGACGGUACCUGACUAAGAAGCCCCGGCUAACUACGUGCCAGCAGCCGCGGUAAUACGUAGGGGGCAAGCGUUAUCCGGAUUUACUGGGUGUAAAGGGAGCGUAGACGGCUGUGCAAGUCUGGAGUGAAAGCCCGGGGCUCAACCCCGGGACUGCUUUGGAAACUGUACGGCUGGAGUGCUGGAGAGGCAAGCGGAAUUCCUAGUGUAGCGGUGAAAUGCGUAGAUAUUAGGAGGAACACCAGUGGCGAAGGCGGCUUGCUGGACAGUAACUGACGUUGAGGCUCGAAAGCGUGGGGAGCAAACAGGAUUAGAAACCCGAGUAGUCC